UACGAAGGGGGGCUAGCGUUGCUCGGAAUCACUGGGCGUAAAGCGCACGUAGGCGGGUCGUUAAGUCAGGGGUGAAAUCCUGGAGCUCAACUCCAGAACUGCCCCUUGAUACUGGCGAUCUCGAGUUCGGGAGAGGUGAGUGGAACUGCGAGUGUAGAGGUGAAAUUCGUAGAUAUUCGCAAGAACACCAGUGGCGAAGGCGGCUCACUGGCCCGAUACUGACGCUGAGGUGCGAAAGCGUGGGGAGCAAACAGG
rnacentral:rRNA from 1 species